CUGGUGAAUGGCUCGGCUCGAGAGCCGACGAAGGACGUGCCAAGCUGCGAAAAGCCUGAGGGAGCCGCACGGAGGCUAAGAACUCAGGAUCUCCGAAUGGGAAUCCCUACAACAAUUGCCAACGCGCAAUAGGGAACGUUCCGAAUUGAAACAUCUCAGUAGGAACAGGAACAAAAAGCAAUCCGCGAUGUCGUUAGUAACGGCGAGUAAACGCGACACAGUCCAAACCGAAUCCGCAAGGAAAUGUGGUGUACGGACAAUCUACAACGGAUCGCCAACACACGAGAAGUCUCCUGGAACGGAGCGUGAUACAGGGUGACAACCCCGUAUCGUAUGAAGGCAAUCCCGAGAUUGCUCCAGAGUAGCGGGGGUUGGAUAUCCCUCGUGAAUCUCGCAGGCAUCGACUGCGAAGACUAAACACUCCUCGAGACCGAUAGCGAACAAGUAGCGCGAGCGAACGCUGAAAAGCACCCCGAAAAGGGCGGUGCAAUAGGGCCUGAAAUCAGUCAGUGAUAGAGCGACGGGGCAUACAAGGUCCCUCGAAGAACGACCGUCGGGCGACCCACCAGUAGGAAUCCGAGGAAGCCGGUGUUCCGUCGUACGUUUUGAAAAACGAACCAGGGAGUGCAUCUACAUGGCGAGUCUAACUGGAUCAUCCAGGAAGGCGCAGGGAAACCGACAAGGCCGCAGCAUUGCGAGGGCCGCCGUGUUCAAGCGCGGGGAGUCAAGUGGGUGCGACCCGAAACCAGAUGAUCUACACGAGGGCAAGACGAAGCGUGGCGAAAGCCACGUGGAGGUCUGUUAGGGUUGGUGUCUUACAAUACCCUCCCGUGACCCGUGUGUAGGGGUGAAAGGCCCAUCGAAUCUGGCAACAGCUGGUUCCAGCCGAAACAUGUCGAAGCAUGACCUCAGCCGAGAUAGUCUGCGAGGUAGAGCGACCGAUUGGAAGACCCGCCUCCGAGAGGAGUCGGCCUUCCUGUCGAACUCCAAACUUGCAGACGUCGUAGACGCUGGGAAUCCGGACUGCGGGGUAAGCUUGUGGUCCGUGAGGGAGACAACCCAGAGCCGGGUUAAGGUCCCCAAGUGUGGAUUAAGUGCGAUCGAAGAUUGUCUCGAGCCCUAAACAGCCGGGAGGUGAGCUUAGAAGCAGCUACCCUCUAAGAAAAGCGUAACAGCUUACCGGCCGAGGUUCGAGGCGUCGAAAAUGAUCGGGGCUCAAAUCCACCACCGAGACCUGGCGGCAGGCGACACCACACGCCUGACCCAGUAGGCUGGCAUACUGUGCGGGUGGAAGUAGGGGUGAAAACUCCUAUGGACCGAUUAGUGACGAAAAUCCUGGCCAUAGUAGCAGCGAUAGUCGGGUGAGAACCCCGACGACCUAAUGAGAUAAGGGUUCCUCGGCACUGCCAAUCAGCCGAGGGUUAGUCGAUCCUAAGUCAUACCGUAACUCGAAUAUGACGAAAUGGGAAACGGGUUAAUAUUCCCGUACCACUAUGCACUCAAAGUUGACGCCCUGGGGUCGAUCACGCUGGGCAUUCGCCCAGUCGAACCGUCCAACUCCGUGCGCAGUUCGCUAUGCCCGAGGGCGAAUCGAAGGUGUGGAACAACGCCAUCAUGGAACUGGGCGGCGUCGCCUGCGAGAAGACGCCCACGUGCGACGAAUCUGGGUGUCCAUGGCGGCGGUGGUGCCACGCCUACGAGACAACCAACGUUAGGGAAUUCGGCAAGUUAGUCACGUAACUUCGGAUGAAGGGAUGCCUGCUCUUGACCGAGCAGGUCGCAGUGACUCGGGCGCUCCAACUGUCUAGUAACAACAUAGGUGACCGCAAAUCCGCAAGGACUCGUACGGUCACUGAAUCCUGCCCAGUGCAGGUAUCUGAACACCUCGUACAAGAGGACGAAGGACCUGUCAACGGCGGGGGUAACUAUGACCCUCUUAAGGUAGCGUAGUACCUUGCCGCUUCAGUAGCGGCUUGCAUGAAUGGAUCAAUGAGAGCGCCACUGUCCCAACGUUGGGCCCGGUGAACUGUACGUUCCAGUGCGGAGUCUGGAGACCCCCAAGGGGAAGCGAAGACCCUAUAGAGCUUUACUGCAGGCUGUCGCUGGGACGUGGUCGCUGAUGUGCAGCAUAGGUAGGAGACACUACACAGGUAUCCGCGCUAGCGGACCACCGAGUCAUCAUUGAAAUACUACCCGUCAGUGACUGCGACCCUCACUCCGGGAGGAGGACACCGGUAGCCGGGCAGUUUGACUGGGGCGGUACGCGCUCGAAAAGAUAUCGAGCGCGCCCAAAGAUUUCCUCACGCGAGUCGGAAACUCGUGGAAGAGCGCAAGAGCACACGGAAGUCUGACAGUGUCAUUCCCAACGAGUGACGCUGACGCGAAAGCGUGGUCUAGCGAACCUACGAAGUUCCUCAAUGGGACUCGUAGAUGACAGAAAAGCUACCUUAGGGAUAACAGAGUCGUCACCGGCAAGAGCACAUAUCGACCCGGUGGCUUGCUACCUCGAUGUCGGUUCCCUCCAUCCUGCCUGUGCAGAAGCAGGCAAGGGUGAGGUUGUUCGCCUAUUAAAGGAUGUCGUGAGCUGGGUUUAGACCGUCGUGAGACAGGUCGGCUGCUAUCUAUUGGGGGUGUUACGGUACUUGACGGGAACGAUCGUAUAGUACGAGAGGAACUACGAUUGGUCGCCGCUGGUGUAUCGGUUGUCCGAAAGGGCAGAUGCCGAGUAGCUACGCGACACGGGGUAAGAGCUGAACGCAUCUAAGCUCGAAACCCACCUGGAAAAGAGUCACCGCCGAGGUCC
rnacentral:rRNA from 1 species